rnacentral:ncRNA from 1 species
AGAAAACUUAUGGUUUGUCUAUAUAAAAGACAAUUAAAAGAUAAACAGGUGAGAAUCCUGUACAGUCCCGCUGCUGUAAUUGUGGAGUAGCUUUCAGUAUACCAUUGGAGAAAUCUGAGAAGGUGAGAGUUUAUGUUGAAGCAUAAGUCAGAAGAACUGCCAUAAAGUU